UAGGUCCAACCUCAAAGUUCAAAUUUGAGUC
rnacentral:piRNA from 1 species